AGGCGGAUAAAAAGAAGGGAAGUUAUCUGCUGAGUUGCACUUUCAGUCGUUCGUCAGUAUCCAUGGCUACAGUCUUCAAUUCAUAAACUUUGGAUUUGCACACGUUUGCUGUUUUGCCACUGCCAAAAAGUACUUAAAAAGUAACUUAAUUCACCAAUUUGGAGAACCAUGUAGUCAGUUUUACAUUAUUACUGUAGGUGAAAUGGAAACUGCCCUGUUAGUAAAUACUGCUGGUGGUUGUGGUGACAUUCAGUUGUGGCAAAGGCGUCAGAAGCACCAUGAUAAAGAACAUUGUGCCAUAAAAAACAGGUUGAUCACGUCUAUCCAUCCAUUCAUUUUCAUCCCCUUAUCCGGCCACUUGUAUCUGUGAUCUCACUCUUUCAGUCACUACCCAAAGCUCAUGGGUGUUGGUAGGAACAGAGAUGGACUGGUAAAUCGAGAGCUUUGCCUUCUGGCUCCGUUCACUCUUCACCACAAAGGUACAACACCUGCAUCACUGCUGGCGCCAAACCGCCAUCUCACGCUCCAUUUUACCCUCACUCUUGAAAAAGACCCCGAGAUACUUGAUCACAUUAUUCCCCAUUAUUAAUCUAAUACAAAAUGUUAGGCACUGAAUUCAGUUUAAUUAGUUUAAAUCAGUUUCUGCAUAUGUUCUUUAUCCACCAUUUGUCCUGUAUGAUCACUUUUACACUGUCAGAAGAGGAUCUAUUGUCACACUCUGCCUCUCUGACCAGUUCAUUGCCAUUCUCUUCCUGUCCACCAGAUGCCCUCAGACUUUUUCUCCCGUCCCAGUCACCUCACUCACCCACAUCUAGCCACUCCCUCUUGCCCUGCAAUAACCCCUUUCCCUCCAGUCACAGUCACCUGACCUUCCCCGCCCAUCUGCUCAUCAGCCCCUGUAGAUAUCAGCCAUUUUUUUACUCACUGCUUGCCAGUUUUUUCAAAGUUGCAAUGCUGCUUUCUUGCCUUGUGUUUUUGCUUUUGAGCUUCUGUUACCUGAAACUUAACCUGGACUAGUAUCUGCUUGCCUGAACAUUCUGGAGGAGCGGACGCAUCUGAAGAAGUCCACACUGACAGUCGAAGAGGAGGCUCCAGAGGGAAUAUAGGCCAGGUCCACGAACACGCUGACGUCACCAACAGAGGGAGACUUGGAGCCUGUGACGGGAGAGAGAGGAGAAACUGAUGAUAGACAUUUCAGUAGAACUCAGUGUAUUUGUUUCAGUUGGUGUGGUGAGAACAGUCCUUUGUGAAACAGCAGGUCGCCACUUUCCUCCGCGCUCUGGCCGGCCAAGAUCAACAGCUUAUGGGCCGAUUCCCUGGACAGCAGAGCAAACACCUGGCCAGAACAGAACAGAGAUGAUUCUCAUUUUGAAAAAGAUUAUAAUUUUAAUUAAUUUUGAUCAUUAAAAACUGCUAAAAAUAAAUCACAAUCAGACUGCGUCAUGAUAACACCUGGCUAACUAUAUCUUCCAAGAACUUCCAAGUAUCUGCGAAGGAACCAGGAUUUAUC